rnacentral:snRNA from 1 species
UUUUUCUUCUGCUGCACCUUCUAGUCU